rnacentral:lncRNA from 1 species
GGAUAUUUGAGGCUGACAGGAGGGAAGGGAAAGGUGUUUGGGUUUGAACCUAUCUAAUUUUGAGAAGGAUGGUGGUUCCAGCCCUUGUUUGAUUCAUACCACAACACUGGUCUGUUGGAAAGCGUCUACUUCGAUGAAAAUGUCUCAGCAAACCGCACAGUAACUAGGAGCAGAGACUCACCUCCAAGAGCUCACAUUAUCAUGUACCUGCUUUACAACAGGCUUGGAAGCAACGAUUCAACCAGCAUGGGCUGAAAAGCCUUCCAAACCGAGAGCCAAAAUAAACACAGCAAUGUGA